rnacentral:tRNA from 1 species
GGUGGUUCAGUGGUAGAGCGCUUGCCUUGCAUACAUGAGGCCUGGGUUCGAUUCCUCAGCACCA